rnacentral:rRNA from 1 species
AUUGAACGCUGGCGGCAGGCCUAACACAUGCAAGUCGGGCGCGCGGCGGAAGGGUGAGUAAUGUAUGUGGAUCUGCCUGAUGGAGGGGGAUAACUACUGGAAACGGUAGCUAAUACCGCAUACCAUCAGCUUAACCCAUUUGGGAUUAGCUUGUAGGUGAGGCAACGGCUCACCUAGGCGACGAUCCCUAGCUGGUCUGAGAGGAUGAUCAGCCACACUGGGACUGAGACACGGCCCAGACUCCUACGGGAGGCAGCAGUGGGGAAUAUUGCACAAGGGGCGAAAGCCUGAUGCAGCCAUGCCGCGUGUAUGAAGAAGGCCUGCGGGUUGUAAAGUACUUGCAGUCGGGAGGCGUUACCGACAGAAGAAGCACCGGCUAACUCCGUGCCAGCAGCCGCGGUAAGUC